GCGACGUCGUAGCGAACUAGAUUAGAAGCUUUGCUUCUAUGACGACUGCUCGGGACGGGCGAGUAACAGGGGACCAACCUGGCUGUCAGACUGGGAUAACUUCGGGAACCGAAGCUAAUACCGGAUAGGACCUUCUCCUUCAUGGGAGAUGAUUGAAAGAUGGAUUCGGCAAUGACUUACGGAAGGGCCCGCGGCGCGUUAGCUAGUUGGCGAGGGUACGGCCCACCGUGGCAAGGAUGCAGAGCCGACCUGAGAGGGUGAUCGGCCACACUGGCACUGACACACGCCCCCGACUCGUACCGGAGGGAGCCGUUGGAAAUCUUCCGCAAUGGACGAAAGUCUGACGGAGCAACGCCGCGCGAGUGCUGAAGGCUUUCGGGUCGUAAAACUCUGUUGUUAGGGAAGAACAAGUACAAGAGGUACUGCUGUGUACCUUGACGGUACCUAACCAGAAAGCCACGGGUAACUACAUGCCAGCAGCUGCGGUAAUACGUAGCGUUGCAAGCGUAAUCCGGAAUUAUUGGCGCGUAAAGCGCGCGCCGCCGGUUUCUUAAGUCUGAUGUGAGAGUCCCACGGCGCACCCGCGGAGGGUCAUUGGAAACUGGUGAACUUGAGUGCAGAAGAGAAAAGCGCAAUUCCACGUGAAGACGUUGAAAUGCGUAGAGAUGUGGAGGAACACCAGUGAGCGAAGGCUGGCUCUUUUGGUCUGUCACUGACGCUGAGGCGCGAAAGGC
rnacentral:rRNA from 1 species